CCCUGGGGCUCAGUCACGAACCCAGGCGGGCAGGGAGCAGCCAGAGCGCUGAGGGGUGUCAGGUGACCUGCGAGGAAGCUUGGCUGGGGGCCUGGAGGCUGCACCCGGGUGAGAGUGAGGUCAACUUCCCCCUUCCCGGGCCUGCACCCCCACACCCUGCUGGAUGUCUCUCCUGCUGUCUGUUUGUCCAUGCACUGUCCCCUGGCCCACCACAGGCUCUGGAUCUCCACUGGUUUCCCCGGUUCUGUGAGGCCUGAGACCCCCUCAGCAGCCUGCCUCACCAUCGACCACCAGCCUAAGGGGGCUUCUGGGUCAGCGGCCUGGGUGGGGGCUGCAGACUUGAGCCAGGGCCAGGUGGGGAGAGCCCUGUCCGCCCCACCUCCCUCCUGCCUCCCUCCUCCACUUCUCUCUGCAGCUAUUUAAAGCCAGCGGUGGCCGUGGGAAACUUCUUCAGAUGUGUGGUUUCGUCUUCGGCACAGGGAAGGGGCGUCUACUUGCUCUCAAGUCCGGUGACUCAUCCAGAACAAGGAAACUGAGGCCCAAGGGGGUCAAGCAACUUGUGCAUCAUCUCCUAGCUAGUGAGUGGCUGAGCGAGGCCAUGUGGCAGCAGAGCCCAACCAUUAACCACGGAGUCACCCCGUCCUGGGAGCCUGGGCAAGCACAGCACAUGGCACACAGUUGCUUUGCAAGGUUUGUGGACUGAGAAAGCACCGUGACGGAGGUCAGAGGCUGGGAAAAGUGUGGAGCGUCAGUCACUGGUAAAGUUUUCCAGUAACUUCUCUGUCGUAAUACAGAAGUCCCUUUGGUAACCUCUGGGGAAAGCAGACCCCUGGCUCUGCUGCUCCAUGGGGCUUGGGGGUGACAGGAGAAUCCCAGAAGGGCCACACAGAGGACCCGUUUUCCCCCAGUGGUGUGUGACCCUCCCCCCACAGCCACGGGGCUCCGCAGGUUACUUGCUUAUGGUCCUGGUGCACCAUGGAAGUCAGAGGAUGGGAGUCUGGCCUGGGCCCCCCCUCUCCCUGCCAUCCCUGACAGUGGCUGAGAUCCCAUGGGGACCCUUCAUCCUUGAGGGGUGAGAGGAGGUCACCAAGACCAGGGCAGGAUGGCGCACACCCCAAAGGGUGGGGCGGGGGCCAGAGGGAGGUUCCACAGAAGAAGGGGGUGCACAGGGUCUUGGGUCUCCAGGAUCUGAGAGGAUCCUGCACCCCCGAGUGAUGCGCUGAGAGCGAGGCUGGGCUGCCCCAGGUUGCUGAGCUGCAGUCACUGUCCAGUGAAGAGGAUGCCUGAGGCACUGCCACGUGGGCAGACCGUGUGGCCUUACACCUGGACCCAGGGAGCAGAGGCCACGCAGCAGAACACGGCACCCUCCCAGCAGCCGCGCCUGUGGGGCUGGGGGGUGGGGGCAGUUUCUCAGCCACAGGAGCAGCCAGGCCAGCCGGGAGGCCACCUUUCUUCCCGUGGAAGGGACCACAGCAGCUGUCGGCCUCAGCCUCAGGGACAAUCAGUGGCCGUUGGGUGUAGCCAUACCAGCAGCAGGCAGGAAGGAAAUAACAGAUGACCGUGGAAGAGGCCACACCAGCCACCACGCCAGGCAGACGCGUGCAGAGGACCAGAGUGGCCACACCAGCCAAGGCAGCAUGCUGGCCACAGACGCCAAUGUUCCGUUUUGACGUCAAAUGCUCUUAAUUCACAGGUGAGGACAUGGGGGCUAACUUGGUCUUCGGGGGGCAGGGAUCUGAAAGCCAGCUGCAGGCCUCCAUUGCUUGGGCAAGUUCUUGUCCACCAGGCAGAUCGAUGUUCUUGGAAGCAGAGGAAGGACACAGGAAGAACCGUCUUCGCCGAAGCCACAGCUGCCUGCCCCAAAGCAGAAAGCCGCAGAUUCACUGAGGCCUGAGGCCCCUGCUCUCCCUGUUUCCAGCUGUCGGCCUCAGCCUCAGGAUUGUGGGUGCGUCCCCACUGCACAGAGGGGAUGGCUGAGGCCCAGCAAGGGCAAGGGACUGGCCCAAAGCCUACCAGGGAGGCCACACCAGAACAGGGGCUAGAAUCCAGGCAUCCUAACUCGAGGUUCCCUGCCCUAGUGACCCUCCCCGCCCCAAGCCCCCAACACCAAAAAAACACAAACGUUUGUUGAAGGUCCCAGAAAUCAGCUUUGGUUUGUCUGGAGCUACUCAGACCUGUGUCCACCCAGAGCUGAUCCUGCUCCAAGUCUGUCUUAUGGUUCAGCCUUGACAGCCCCAGGGACCCCAAGCAUCACCCACAGCAGGGACACUAGGCUCUGUCACCCACAGAGCCUCCAGGAAAGCCCUAGAGAGGCUCCUGGGGCGGGAGCACACCCAGGCGGGGGCUGAGUGCCAAUACUCUGUUAGGCCUUGGUGGGGCCGACAGCUGCCUUCCAGGAGCUCCCAACCUAAGAAGGGACCAUCUUCAUUCUCCCCAAGCCGUUUACAGUUUGCAGAACAAGGAUUUAUCCUCCAAGA